GCAGUGUUCCGAUCCAAUCACAUAUGAUCAGUGAUGACAAGAGCCUGGAAUGGUGCAUGCCGCACAUGUUCGUUAUUCACCCUUCCAUCCCACAGAAACAUAGGACAUAAGUAGGAUCGGAUCGCUACAUGAUGAGUGUGGACCGGGCUUUAAUCCAAGUGUUCCGAUCCCACUCUUUUCCGAUAUUCCUUUGGAGUGGUGGUGGAACAUGACGGACAUGUGUGGUAUGCGUCGUAUGCCAGGCCGUUGAUAUCACUGAUUAUGUGUGAUUGGAUUGAAGCGAGAUCGGACGCUGCAUGACACUUGUGUCCUUGGCUUGUAGCGUCAUGAACACAUGCUGUACGUUUCUCAUCAGCUGAUGCUAUGCUUAUCAUUUAUUCAUUAAUUUUAUUUAUUCAUCAAUACAAUAAUAAUUAUUACAAUGUACAAUGAUCUAUAAUAAUAGUUAUCACAAUCGGAAAGGGAAAAACUAAGCCUAGUGGUCGGUAGCAAAGUCGGUUUGACAAGGCUUUUAAUAAUCGGCUUUUUAAUCGAUCUGCAAGGCUUUUUCGAUCUAUUCAAAUGAAGGCAAUCAAGGCAAUAUAUUUUUUUAUAAUAUUAUUCAUUCAUAAAUAACUAUUUUUCAUUGGAAAUUCGUCAUGAAGCUCAAUUGAAGACGCACUCUGCCUCAACAUGUAAAAAGGCGGCUCUGCCUCGAAAGGUGGAGUAUUCGACCAAUAAAUUAUUCUGAAAGUUACAGUAUUAUAUCUACAAGAGUCUUCAACUUAUUGAAGGGUUCCCCCAUACUUAUGACUCACUCUGUAUAUUCAUGACCGCCGAAUAUGUGGAAGAUAGGAGACCAUAUUCAGGUUUUCAUCUCAUAUGAUCCUCAUAUUAAAUUCCGGUUGUAUCUAGCUUUUUGUUUCAAUUAUACAUUUUAAACUGUUACAAUCUAUUAACUUAUAUUCUACUCAAAUCUCUUCUCUAGGCCAAUUCAACUCUACUCAAUUCAUUCUCACCAUUUCAACUCAUUCAUGAUACUAUGUGUUAUCUUCACUUGAAAAUAAUAUUUUUUCAUAGACAUUAAUUUAUAUCGUUAUACAUUGUCGAUUUCACUCCUUUCACUCAAAUUAGUGGAACAGAAUUUCUCCAAAUGAGUUGUAUAAUAAUAUUGGCACUCAUUACUGUAUCAAUAGAAAUAAUACAAAAUAGAACAAUUAUAUCAACAUAAAUUUCAAAAAUAAACUGUUGAAAAUAUUAGCACUGUUCUCUGUAUGAACAGAAACUCUAUACAAUACAGAAACAUAGCAUUACUGUUUCCUGUAUUCUGUAGUUCUCGUUAUUCAUUCUGUGUUUUCUGUUUGCCAGUGUCUUCAAUCCCAGGAAAGUUUACUUGCGAAGGCUGUGGCAAAUGUUACAAAUACAAAUCAACACUUUGGACCCAUACACGCUAUGAGUGCGGCAAACAGCCUCAAUUCCAGUGUCGCUACUGUUCUUAUCGCUGUCAUCGCAAAGCAUCGCUCAAACCACAUUUUGUCUCCAGACAUAGCAAAUUUCUAAUGAACUAAAUUGCUUUCACAAUCAGGAAGGUUUGAAUGCAAUGGAUGUGGAAAAGUUUACAAAUAUAAAAGUUCGCUGUCCACUCACACGCGCUUCGAGUGUGGCAAAGAGCCCUGUUUCCAGUGUCCAUACUGCUCUUAUCGCUGUCAUCGAAGGACAACUCUCAAACCGCACUUGAUCUCAAAACAUUCGAAAAUUAUAAAUUGUACCAUUAAAUGAAUAAUCGAUUUA
rnacentral:lncRNA from 1 species